UGGGGAAUAUUGGACAAUGGGCGCAAGCCUGAUCCAGCCAUGCCGCGUGUGUGAAGAAGGCCUUUUGGUUGUAAAGCACUUUAUGCGAGGAGGAGGCUACUUGGAUUAAUACUCUAAGAUAGUGGACGUUACUCGCAGAAUAAGCACCGGCUAACUCUGUGCCAGCAGCCGCGGUAAUACAGAGGGUGCGAGCGUUAAUCGGAUUUACUGGGCGUAAAGCGUGCGUAGGCGGCUUCUUAAGUCGGAUGUGAAAUCCCUGAGCUUAACUUAGGAAUUGCAUUCGAUACUGGGAAGCUAGAGUAUGGGGGAGGAUGGUAGAAUUCCAGGUGUGGCGGUGAAAUGCGUAGAGAUCUGGAGGAAUACCGAUGGCGAAGGCAGCCAUCUGGCCUAAUACUGACGCUGAGGUACGAAAGCAUGGGGAGCAAACAGG
rnacentral:rRNA from 1 species